rnacentral:lncRNA from 1 species
UAUUUGCUACACAUUCUGUUUAUUUUAUUUAAAAAUAAACUUAACUAGAAAUGUAAAUCAAGUAGGAUUUGAACAUGAGACCUCGGGUACCAGCCAUCACACCCUUUGCCCAAUUGCACUAGAAACGGUCGAUGUGCCAACUACAUUUAUAUAUUCUAAUUUUUUUUGUCCUUUCAAAUUUGAUGAAAAUUUUUGAAGAUGAGUAAGAUGCUCUCUUUCACCUCUUCCUGUUUUA